GACGAACGCUGGCGGCGUGCCUAAUACAUGCAAGUCGAACGCAGUGGGGACGGGUGAGUAACACGUGGGUAACCUCCCAUCAGAGGGGAUAACCCUUGGAAAAAGGUGCUAAACACGUAAUGAUGGAUGGACCCGCGGUGCAUUAGCUAGUUGGUGAGGUAACGGCUCACCAAGUCCACGAUGCAUAGCCGAUCUGAGAGGUGGAUCAGCCACACUGGGACUGAGACACGGCCCAGACUCCUACGGGAGGCAGCAGUAGGGAAUCUUCGGCAAUGGGCGAAAGUCUGACCGAGCCACGCCGCGGGAAUGAAGAAGGUUUUCGGGUCGUAAAACUCUGUUGUUAGAGAAGCGGUAUCUAACCAGAAAGCCACGGCUAACUACGUGCCAGCAGCCGCGGUAAUAC
rnacentral:rRNA from 1 species